rnacentral:rRNA from 1 species
GAUGAACGCUGGCGGUAUGCUUAACACAUGCAAGUCGAACGGACUCUUCGGAGUUAGUGGCGGACGGGUGAGUAACGCGUGAGAAUCUGGCUUUGGGUUCGGGACAACCACUGGAAACGGUGGCUAAUACCGGAUGUGCCGAGAGGUAAAAGAGAAAUUGCCUGAAGGUGAGCUCGCGUCUGAUUAGCUAGUUGGUGAGGUAAAGGCUCACCAAGGCAGCGAUCAGUAGCUGGUCUGAGAGGAUGACCAGCCACACUGGGACUGAGACACGGCCCAGACUCCUACGGGAGGCAGCAGUGGGGAAUUUUCCGCAAUGGGCGAAAGCCUGACGGAGCAAUACCGCGUGAGGGAAGAAGGCUCUUGGGUUGUAAACCUCUUUUCUUAGGGAAGAACAAAAUGACUGUACCUAAGGAAUCAGCAUCGGCUAACUCCGUG